UACUCGAGUGGCGAACGGGUGAGUAACACGUGGGUGAUCUGCCCUGCACUCUGGGAUAAGCCUGGGAAACUGGGUCUAAUACCGGAUAGGACCGCACUUUAGUGUGUGUGGUGGAAAGUUUUUUCGGUGUAGGAUGAGCCCGCGGCCUAUCAGCUUGUUGGUGGGGUAAUGGCCUACCGAGGCGGCGACGGGUAGCCGGACUGAGAGGUUGGUCGGCCACAUUGGGACUGAGAUACGGCCCAG
rnacentral:rRNA from 1 species